rnacentral:rRNA from 1 species
GAUGAACGCUGGCGGCGUGCCUAACACAUGCAAGUCGAACGGACGGACGAGAAGCUCGCUCUUCUGCUGUUAGCGGCGGACGGGUGGGUAACACGUGGAUAACCUUCCUAUAAUUCUGGGAUAACUACGGGGAACCGGUGAUAAUACCAGAUCAUAUUUUGAACCGCAGGGUUCAAAAGUGCAAGACGGCUUUCCUGUCUCAUAUAGCUGGUUCCGCGCUGCAUUAGCUAGUUGGUAAGGUAACGGCCUACCAAGGCAACGAUGCGUAGCCGAUCUGAGAGGGUGAUCGGCCACACUGGAACUGAGACACGGUCCAGACUCCUACGGGAGGCAGCAGUGGGGAAUAUUCGACAAUGGGCGCAAGCCUGACGCAGCCAUGCCGCGUGAGUGAUGAAGGUCUUCGGAUCGUAAAACCCUUUUAUUGGGGAAGAAAAGAUGUGUAAUUAACCGUGCAUAUCUUGACGGUACCCAAAGAGAAAGCCCCGGCUAACUACGUG